UGUUGACUGAGGCGGUUGAAAACAUAUCUCACAAAAUGUGUUGACGUCUGACUUCUACUGUUAGACAUGGAGACUUAAUAUUACAAGCAAUCGGGGAGGCGGAACUUAGAGGAGGACCAAACGUCUGAUGUAAGGCUUUUUGGCUGACAUCACUUCAGCUCUAAUUCCUUUAAAGAGAGCAAGUCAGACACAGGGUAGGCGGAGAACGGGGAAGCUGGGUGCACAGUGCAGGCGGACAACUAGACACUUCACAUCUGGACUUACGUACUCAGUAGGAAAUGGCUGCUUUAACCACGAGCCUACUGGUCCGCGUGACGACAUGCCCACGUUGAAAAGAUAGAACUACACGAUCAUACUUAACACACCUUCCAACGCCCAGAACACAUCACUUUGAGACCAACACAAGCCUAAAGAACCUCCAUUGUGAUCCAAAUCAAUAUGGAUCACUCAGCUGGGGUGCUAUAAAAGGAAUCAACGGAAGUAAGAAGGAAAAAAAAAAGCAUGGGUGGUUACCUGGCAAAGGUGCACGAUGGACUAGAACACCACACGGUCACAUACAAAUGGAUGGACAUUCUGUCAAGGACGAUACAUUACACGUCCAACACCCCCAGAGAUAAGGACAUUGAAAUCAUGGAGAAAUGUAUGCAAAAAGCCAGAACUUCGGCACCACCGACUGUCCCUUGGGAUUUGAUGUUCAUGAAUGUUGUUCACAUGUCUAAAAAUACACUGACAUUUUUAAAAAUGUACUAUGUAUGCACUGUUUAUUGAUGUUGAGAGACAUUGCAUACAAAAUUCCAUACCUGUUAACAUUACUGCAGAGUUAACAUCAUAACAAAUGGGUUGUACUUGUACUUGUAUAGCACUUUUCUACCUUCAAGGUACUCAAAGCGCUUUGACACUACUUCCACAUUCACCCAUUCACACACACAUUCACACACUGAUGGAGGGAGCUGCCAUGCAAGGCGCUAACCAGCACCCAUCAGGAGCAAGGGUGAAGUGUCUUGCUCAGGACACAACGGACGUGACGAGGUUGGUACUAGGAGGGGAUUGAACCAGGGACCCUGGGGUUGCGCACGGCCACUCUCCCACUGCGCUACGCCGCCCCUAACGAUAAUUGAAUUGAAAGCAAAACAAUCCAUAUUAAAGCACGGUCUCAUGGUCAUCCAGUCAUGAUGUUUUUUUAUCAAUUAUUUUUGAAGUGGUUUCAAUAUUAUUUCUUUCAUUCAUUAGAUCAUUUUGUUUAAUUAUAGGAUAACCCUAUCCUGACCCUUUGUAAACUUUUUAAAUGCUAUCCAUAUCAUGUUUACAUUCAUUAGUUGUAAACAUUUUUUUACUAUGUUAACCUUAAAUAUAUUUUAUGAUGUACUAAAAGCUGCUCAUAACCUUAAUUUAUCAUUUUUACAGUAGCUUUAUUAUUUUAUUUAUUUCAUUCAUUAUAUCAUUGUUUAAAUAAGACUAACCCCACCGCUUUUUUCUUAAAUGCUAACCAUAACAUUGUUUUUCCUUUUACAAGUUGUAAAUAUUUUUUUCUAACCAUCUUGUUUUUGAGCAUGCCUACUCUGCAAACUUUCUCAGUUGCUAAAAUGUUUUCCUUCAUAAGUUGGAAAUAUUUUUUUCUAACCUUUACAUUUUUAAUUUCUCAUCGCUGUAUACUUUUCUCAAACCUAACAGUUUUGUUUUUUUCCAACCCUGCAUAAACAAAUUCUCAAAAGUGCCAACUUUUUUUCUAAAAUCCAUUCACCUUACAUGGAAAGUGUGAACAUUUGGUUUUCACUUGGUAAAGAUGUCCGUUCUUGCAAACAUUUUCUCUUAAACAUGUAUAUUGUCUUUCUUUCAAAUAUAUUUUUACCAAAAUAAAUAAAAUAACUACUGCGUAAGUCUAA